GUGCCAGCAGCCGCGGUAAUACGUAGGUGGCAAGCGUUAUCCGGAAUUAUUGGGCGUAAAGCGCGCGUAGGCGGUUUUUUAAGUCUGAUGUGAAAGCCCACGGCUCAACCGUGGAGGGUCAUUGGAAACUGGAAAACUUGAGUGCAGAAGAGGAAAGUGGAACUCCAUGUGUAGCGGUGAAAUGCGCAGAGAUAUGGAGGAACACCAGUGGCGAAGGCGACUUUCUGGUCUGUAACUGACGCUGAUGUGCGAAAGCGUGGGGAUCAGACAGGAUUAGAUACCCUG
rnacentral:rRNA from 1 species